rnacentral:rRNA from 1 species
AUUGAACGCUGGCGGCAGGCCUAACACAUGCAAGUCGAACGAGUGGCGGACGGGUGAUUAAUGUCUGGGAAACUGACUGAUGGCGGGGGAUAACUACUGGAAACGGUAGCUAAUACCGCAUACCAUCGGAUGUUCCCAGCUGGGAUUAGCUAGUAGGUGGGGUAAAGGCUCACCUGGGCGACGAUCCCUAGCUGGUCUGAGAGGAUGACCAGCCACACUGGAACUGAGACACGGUCCAGACUCCUACGGGAGGCAGCAGUGGGGAAUAUUGCACAAUGGGCGCAAGCCUGAUGCAGCCAUGCCGCGUGUAUGAAGAAGGCCUUCGGGUUGUAAAGUACUUUCAGCGGGGAGGCGUUACCCGCAGAAGAAGCACCGGCUAACUCCGUGCCAGCCGCCGCGGUAAUAC